rnacentral:misc_RNA from 1 species
GUGAAUCAUCGAAUUUUUGAACGCAAAUUGCACUCUCUUCGGAGAGUAUGCCUGUUUGAGGGUCAGCCUAAAAAAAAUCGACAUCGUUGCUGCUUCGCGGUGGCGUUCGUCGGAAAUUGGGUUAUCUUAAAUCUUUGGUUUAUGCGCCUUAAAAUCUUCUUUACGAUUCCAUUGACCUUUCCUAGAUUUAAUUUUUUUCAAGG